rnacentral:rRNA from 1 species
AUAUUGGUCAAUGGACGAGAGUCUGAACCAGCCAAGUCGCGUGAAGGAAGACGGAUCUAUGGUUUGUAAACUUCUUUAGUGCGGGAACAAAGCGGCGUCGUGACGCCUGAUGAGUGUACCGCAAGAAUAAGCAUCGGCUAACUCCGUGCCAGCAGCCGCGGUAAUACGGAGGAUGCGAGCGUUAUCCGGAUUUAUUGGGUUUAAAGGGAGCGCAGGCUGCGAGGCAAGUCAGCGGUCAAAUGUCGGGGCUCAACCCCGGCCUGCCGUUGAAACUGUCCUGCUAGAGUUCGAGUGAGGUAUGCGGAAUGCGUUGUGUAGCGGUGAAAUGCAUAGAUAUGACGCAGAACUCCGAUUGCGAAGGCAGCAUACCAACUCGCGACUGACGCUGAGGCUCGAAAGCGUGGGUAUCGAACAGGAUUAGAUACCCUGGUAGUCCACGCAGUAAACGAUGAAUACUAACUGUUCGGAGGGCGACCUCUGAGUGGUAAAGCGAAAGCGUUAAGUAUUCCACCUGGGGAGUACGCCGGCAACGGUGAAACUCAAAGGAAUUGACGGGGGCCCGCACAAGCGGAGGAACAUGUGGUUUAAUUCGAUGAUACGCGAGGAACCUUACCCGGGCUCAAACGUCGGGCGAAUCAUCCUGAAAGGGAUGGGCCAGCAAUGGCGGCCGACGAGGUGCUGCAUGGUUGUCGUCAGCUCGUGCCGUGAGGUGUCGGCUUAAGUGCCAUAACGAGCGCAACCCCCGCGUCCAGUUGCCAGCGAGUGAAGUCGGGCACUCUGGACGGACUGCCGGCGCAAGCCGCGAGGAAGGCGGGGAUGACGUCAAAUCAGCACGGCCCUUACGUCCGGGGCGACACACGUGUUACAAUGGCGUGGAACAGAGGGAAGCCACCUGGCGACAGGGAGCGGAACCCGAAAACACGUCUCAGUUCGGAUUGGAGUCUGCAACUCGACUCCAUGAAGCUGGAUUCGCUAGUAAUCGCGCAUCAGCCAUGGCGCGGUGAAUACGUUCCC